UCCUUGAUAGUGCAGGAGGCAACGCAUCAGCCUCAUAAUCUGAAGGUUGUGAGUUUGAGCCUCGCAAGGGGCAGUGGAA